rnacentral:rRNA from 1 species
UUUGAUCAUGGCUCAGAUUGAACGCUGGCGUGCAAGGCCUAACACAUGCAAGUCGAGCGGCAGCACAAGUAAGUUUACUUAUGAGGUGGCGAGCGGCGGACGGGUGAGUAAUGCCUAGGGAUCUGCCCAGUCGAAGGGGAUAACAGUUGGAAACGACUGCUAAUACCGCAUACGCUCUACGGGGGAAAGAGGGGGACCUUCGGGCCUCUCGCGAUUGGAUGAACCUAGGUGGGAUUAGCUAGUUGGUGAGGUAAUGGCUCACCAAGGCGACGAUCCCUAGCUGUUCUAGAGAGGAUGAUCAGCCACACUGGGACUGAGACACGGCCCAGACUCCUACGGGAGGCA